rnacentral:rRNA from 1 species
GCAAAACGCGAAGAACCUUACCACCUUUUGACAUGCCCGGACCACCAGAGAGAUCUGGCUUUCCCUUCGGGGACUGGGACACAGGUGCUGCAUGGCUGUCGUCAGCUCGUGUCGUGAGAUGUUGGGUUAAGUCCCGCAACGAGCGCAACCCACGCCAUUAGUUGCCAUCAUUUAGUUGGGCACUCUAAUGGGACCGCCGGUGGUAAGCCGGAGGAAGGUGUGGAUGACGUCAAGUCCUCAUGGCCCUUACAGGGUGGGCUACACACGUGCUACAAUGGCGACUACAGAGGGUUGCAAGCCUGCGAAGGUGAGCCAAUCCCUAAAAGUCGUCUCAGUUCGGAUUGUAGGCUGCAACUCGCCUACAUGAAGCCGGAAUCGCUAGUAAUCGUGGAUCAGCAUGCCACGGUGAAUACGUUCCCGGGUCUUGUACACACCG